UUUGAUCAUCAAUGUCAGGAUAACUAAUUUAUUCUUCCUGUCUCCUUGUACAUGGCUACUUGACAAACCAUGUCAAACUGCAACAAACCACAACCAGCAGCACCCAACCAACUGGCCAAACAGCCCCUUCUGUGGAGCUGCAGCAUUUGUAUACUCUCUGAAGAGUCCCCAGAAUUCCAAAUGUACACAACUGCGAUGACUGCAGCUGUCAAAACCACACCUCUGCUAGAGCAUGAGGCAAAUCACUGUCAGCUGCUAUGGACAAUCAGAAGCAGCCCUGUAUCCCACACCUGGAAUCAAAAUGAAAACAUUCUUAGAUAUCUGUGUUUUUAGAGACCAAUAUUCCCACUAAAGAGACUCAUGGCUUUGAAGAUGAUUGUACAACAGAAAUGUGUAAAACUCUUCAUUUGCCUGAGGCAAAGCUCUUGGUCUUAGUGCCACAAAUUUCUAGAAACUGAAAGUUAUGUUGGUUAGUCUCUGAAGUCAGCAGGGACAAGUGGUCAGGCAGGACCUUGGAUGCUUCAUUCCUUUUCUGACAGCGACUCUGGCUUGGGGGAUGUUUUGGUAAAAAGGACAAAAGUCUCAUUUUCUUACCUUGUAGGCUUUUCUCUAAGCCCUGAGCAGGCUCCCUAGGCAUGGAGUUUAUAAGGAGCAGAAGUGUGAAGGGCAAGCUUUUGUACCCUUCAUCUCUUACAUCUGGGUUUAGACUCCCUACAAGAGCACUUAGAGGGGAGAAAAAAAAACCAACAGUAAGAAAAGUUCAAAGAAAGGUGUUUGAGGGAAAAGGACUUUCUGUAGGAAGCUUCAAGGACACUUGCUUUUUCCAUCCUGUGCAAAAUGGAACCACAGUAAAGAUGUCAAAAGUCUUAGCUCAAAAUAAAAAGGGCUAUUCCCUGCAAAAGGCUGAGUUACACAUUGAAUCUAUUUUCUGUUUCCACACUACCUCCAUUUUGGCUUCACUCUAAUUUAUUUGGGAGGGAAUAGUGAUGCAGGAGAGAGGCAACAUCAUAUUAUCCUUGGAGGUCCAUAACUGCCUUUGAUGAGUUAUUUCUCUUUAUUGUGGUGAGUUGGGAGGGGAUCUGUGGGCUACCAGGUACCUUGUUUACCUCUACCGAUCCAUAUUUUGGCAUUUACAUACUCACGUGGUACCAGGAACACAGGAAGCUAAUCCUUUGAGGUUUUGCAGAUGUCCCAUUAUUGAGGACCUCAGAGAAUGAGCUAAGAAACCAGAUCAUUUAGGUGGCACUCACCUCAUGAGCUCUUGGACACCAUUAGACUUGAUGUCUAAGAUGCUGUCUUCGUUAGUGUUCAGCAGUUACUUUUUAACAACACACAUCACUAAACUGAUGGAGAGCUCCUAUAGAACCACUUCAGAACCUGGAGGUGUAGGAGUGGCAGGCAAAGGCUGUCCAAUCAGAGGGUUACUUGUAGUGGAAGAACUCUGUGACUGGUUAGGGAGUUAGCCUGAUUGAGGAGACAGGGUUCUGUGAAAAACAAAAAUGCUAUGCAACUUACCUAAGUGAGUGACAGAGCCAAGAAGAUGCUCAGAAUCCAGAAAAGCAGUGAUGCACCAAAAGCAGAGAUUUAGUUCCAAGAGGGCUGGGGUUUUAAACCAGAUAACUGCCACAACCAGCUAUCUAAUGUCAGUUGGCCACAUUAAGUAUCUUCUCUUGGCUUGACAAACGUGCUAUGACGCCAGCCUUCCAGGUAGGAGAAGGAAGGUCUUGGGUUUUCAUUCCUUUCUUUGUGCAGGACUCAGGGCUUGGGGUGGGAAUGUGAGCAGGUGUGAGGCAUUGACAAACCCUGCUCACCAGAGUUAGCCUCAACCCUUCCCUAUGUGGCAGGCCCUCCCUCUCUCAGCCCUUUCUAAACCUUUCCCGUCUGUGGCUUCCUGAGUAGCAUAUGUUGCCCACAGUGCAGCUAGUUUUAAACUGGAUUAAGUGACAACGUUAAAAAAACUUUUAAAUGAGAGGUUUAAAUUUAGACAUCUGGGGCUCAGUAAACAUCAUUAUUACAAGUUAAAGGUCAGAGAUGUCAGGGAAAUAACAGUUGUCUCAUUCAGCUCCUUGUCAUUAGCAGGAGGAAGUGGCCUUCGAGCAAUGUUCUGAUGAGCUGUAUUCUUGUUCCCUGCAUGGCUUGGGCAGUCAUGUAUACAAGAAUAGACUGCCUUUCCACCCAGGAUCGAUCCAGAAACGUGAUGUUUUUCUGCAGUGAUGAAACAAUUGACCAAGAUGUUGUUAGAUGUAAGAGCAAAUGGAGUAGGCUUUGAAGUGACAAAACCACAAGAAUACCCCAUCCCGCCUACUAGAGCUCAGCGAUGCAUGACGACCUGUCUGGAGAUGUUUACGGCAGCAUUAUUGUGAGUUUCCAAACUGAGAACGACUUAUCACCCAAAAGCAAGUUCAACGUCACAUCAACUGAGAAAUUCUAGACAAGCAUUAAAGAGGAAGAACAUUUAUGUGUAUCUGUAGAAGUACAGAAGCAUCUUCUAUCUUGCUUCAUCACUGGUUCUGGGAAACCUUAUCAGAUGUUGAUCUUCAGGAACUAUGAAGACCCACCUGGGCCAUGUCCUGGCCAAAAAAGGCAGCCUUGCUUUUUCUCAAAAAGAAGAAAAACAGCUUUCAUACCUGAAGUCAUUUUCAGCAAAUGGCAGUUGUAGCUGUGGCUAUGUUGUGCAGGCUCCAGGGAUCCGAUGAAGCAGUUGGAAUAACGGAUGAAUUUAGUCCCAGUAGGAAUAAAACCUGGUGGCCUCAGGCACAGAGACUCUGUAGUCUCUGAAGAUAUAAGAGUCUUGGCAUUCUGGGAAUAAACAGAAACAGGGCCUCACUCAUCUAGGUGGCCAAGUCUCUGAACACCACCUCUUUCCCUUUGCUUUGCCAAUCACAUGGGGUAGCUUUAGUCUUUCUUUUGGCUCUACAUCCCUUUUGAUAUUUUGAAAGCAUCCAGUAUUCCUUCAGCUUCCUUAACUGGAAACUGAUUGAUAAUUUCCGUUGUUACUAUUCUAGUCCUAUCAUUUAGUGUUAAGUUCUAAUGUUGGAUUUUAUGACCCCUAAGUGACAGAACUGAAUUGUCACUGUGGUAUUGUUUCAAAGUGAUACCACAUAUCCCCAGGAUCUCAGGAAUCUCUGAGUUAAUAAAAGCAGAUGAUGUGGUGCUCAGCCUUUUUGGCUUCUGGUACUUCUGUGAGUGACAGUCAUAUUUAAAAUAUCUGUGCGUGGCAUAUACAAAGCUCAUAUUUCUCUUUUAUGGUUGUCCUAUUUUCUGAACACCCAAGCAGUUCUUCCAUAGAGCAGAGUUCAGUCCCAGGUCCUAUGAAAGACAUCUGCAAAGUUUUCCCAGGUAGCUUCUCCAGGGAAGCAUGUGAGCUGGCAAUGUUUUGAGAGUAAUGAACUGAAAGUAUACAAAUCUAUAUCUUUUGAAAUUGUAUUAAAUAUUACACUGUAGAAAUGUCAAAUUGUUCAUUUACCCAAGUAGGACCUAU
rnacentral:sRNA from 1 species